CGCCCUUGCUUUUGGGUCUACAGUUAUGUAUUGAAAAUAAGUAGCUCAGGAUGAUACCGAAAGAAAGGUAAAUUGCACUAAUGGUACCCUAACUUUAUGGUAUGUAACAGUAAGAUAUCCAAACUUAAAAUUAUAAUAGAAAACUCUCCAACAUCAAAGAAUAUAACAAUAAACACCAUGUUAUUUAUUUUAUUCGGUGAUCCGAUAUUGAGUUGACAUGGCUUAGCAACAUGAGAGGUUCCUUCUCUCUCCAUAUGCAUCUCUGUUAUCCAAUGUGG
rnacentral:misc_RNA from 1 species